GGGAUGCAAAGCCCAAAAAGUCGAUUUCUUGUGACCACCGUUAGACAACUACCUUAUAUUCUCAGAUAUUAUGUAUAAAUAUUAUAAAUGUCUUGUCUCAAACUCGACAAGCGUGAAAAUGGAACAUUUUUUAGUAAUUUGAAAAAAACCGAGAAAAAUAUUUAUUUUUUCAGCAUGAUCGUAAGCCAACCAGCUUGCGCGUUUCAUCCGAUUUGGAAGGGUGAAUCCUCUCUCGACCAAUCGCAUCACUCGUUGCAAAUCACCUUCACUGUACAAGAUGGACGCGUACAUGUCUUCAUCAUUGCGUCGGAAGCUGAUGAUUCUGAGGGGAAAACUUCUUUUUACUGUUUCAUGCACGCAAUCGAAACCCAUGAACGAGUUAUUCCCUUUUUAGAGAAAAACUUCAAUCAGUUUUUAGAGUGUUCCACCCUAUGGAAAGAGCUGAAGAAUCGUCCAGAAAGUGUCAUCGCAACCAAAGCAGACGAUGCAAUGAGUGACGAUGUAUGCACAACAACAAGAUAAUCUGCCAUUCUGCCUCCUUCAAUACUGAAGAUUCUUGCUGAUGCCAUAUAUAUACUUUGCCUGAUUGGGGUAUGCGGGUGGACCACUACACCGGGGUUUCCUCCUACUCUUAUACGAAUAGUGCAAUGGGUUCUUAACGUGCAAGGGUGUGACUUUCCUGUACACGGGGCCUCCAUUUAAAGUCCUAUCCGAGGGAUGGAUUGUUUUCCACUUAACAUAGCCUGUGUCUAUGAAACAAGGGGAAGGUCACGUUUACACACAACGCAGGCUUCAGUCAUCCGCCUGGGUGCAUGGGAUUCGAACCAGAGAUCUUUGGUUUGACAGGCAGACGCUUUACCGACUGAGCCAUCCAUCUCGCUUCCUAUAAUUCAUGUAUCACAAUCACUUGUGAUGCACUGCAAGAAUAGUAUGUCACUUGGUAGAUAAUUCUUAUAUUUUGAGUUGUAUUAACAUAUAUCUACAAUUCUACAUGUAUGUUUCAAAAUCCCUUGCGAUGAAGGCAGUAAGAAUAGUUUGUCAUUUUUCCAAUGACUCGUAAAAGUGGUAAAUUCUUAUAGGUUUU